UACGAAGGGUGCAAGCGUUACUCGGAAUUACUGGGCGUAAAGGGUGCGUAGGCGGCGCGGUAAGUCGGGUGUGAAAUCUCGGAGCUUAACUCCGAAACUGCAUUCGAUACUGCCGUGCUUGAGGACUGGAGAGGAGACUGGAAUUUACGGUGUAGCGGUGAAAUGCGUAGAUAUCGUAAGGAAGGCCGGUGGCGAAGGCGGGUCUCUGGACAGUUCCUGACGCUGAGGCACGAAGGUCAGGGGAGCAAACGGG
rnacentral:rRNA from 1 species